rnacentral:lncRNA from 1 species
UUUUCUUUCUAAGUUCAAAAAUAUUAAAUAAAACAUAAAUGAAAAUAUUACUCCCCCUCCCUUUCUUUUAUCAAUGCUGAUUUUUCUGUUCUUUUCUUUCAUUUCUUCCUUAUCCUCUUCUUUUCUCCUUCUUCAACCCUAGCCACCCCAUAGUUUUCGCCACCAUGAAUAACAUAUUUUCUGGCUUGAAAAUGACACUGAAGUGUUGCUCUCCAUUCCCUCUUUUAAAUGCUUCAAUUAGAUUUUUCAAAAAAUUUUCAAAAGUUACAAAAAUGCUUUCAAACUUUCAAACUUCUCUAACUUCCAUCUAAAGCUCCAACCGUCGAAACAUCUUGUAAUUUUGACCAUGACUUCUUCGUAGUAUGAUGAACUUCUUCACUGCUCAAAUCUCCUAAAUGGGUUUUAAAAAAAUUACCUUAAAAAUCUGAAACUUUGGGUUUCCUAUGUUGGAUUGACUAGCUAUUGCAACCAUGGUGGUUGAUAUUUAAGCCUUUGCCGAAUUAUUUUCUACUGUCAUGGGGUUUUGAGGGUCUUGAUCUUAUUAAGGAUUGAAGGGCUAGUUGAUGGAGGUUAGGAGUUGAUGGUUCAUCAACAUUGAAUGUAAGCCUUAGAUCUCGAUGUUGUAGUUAUUUAUAAGCAAACAAAAUUGUUGCAGAUUUGAGUUUGUUUUUUCAUAAUUCUAAAUUUGAUUUUUAUUUAUUUAUUUUCGAAUUAGUUUUAGAAUUAAGUGAUUGAUGUCUUUCCUCUUUUUGUUAAAUAUUCAUUUAAUUAUUUUAUUUGUUUGCAUAUAUAGUUAUCUUGAACCAAAGUUUUGUUGGGUUAUUGAUGAAUGUUGUUCAAAUUUCUUUAAUUUUAUUUACAAAAG